AUUGAACGCUAGCGGCAUGCCUUACACAUGCAAGUCGAACGGCAGCGGGGGAGCUUGCUCCCGCCGGCGAGUGGCGAACGGGUGAGUAAUACAUCGGAACGUACCCAGUAGCGGGGGAUAGCCCGGCGAAAGCCGGAUUAAUACCGCAUACGCCCUACGGGGGAAAGGGGGGGAUCGCAAGACCUCUCGCUAUUGGAGCGGCCGAUGGCUGAUUAGCUAGUUGGUGGGGUAAAGGCCUACCAAGGCGACGAUCAGUAGCUGGUCUGAGAGGACGACCAGCCACACUGGGACUGAGACACGGCCCAAACUCCUACGGGAGGCAGCAGUGGGGAAUUUUGGACAAUGGGCGAAAGCCUGAUCCAGCAAUGCCGCGUGUGCGAAGAAGGCCUUCGGGUUGUAAAGCACUUUUGUCAGGGAAGAAAUCGUUUGGGUUAAUACCCCGAGCAGUUGACGGUACCUGAAGAAUAAGCACCGGCUAACUACGUGCCAGCCGCCGCCGUAA
rnacentral:rRNA from 1 species